GGGCGGUUAGCUCAGCGGGAGAGCGACUCGUUUACACCGAGUAGGUCGCAGGUUCGAUCCCUGCACCGCCCA
rnacentral:tRNA from 1 species